rnacentral:lncRNA from 1 species
UAUAUAAAGGCAGUAAGCAACGAGAUCUGUCAGAGUUCCUUCAAAGCUUGUUUGAGACACUUACUAAAGCCUUUUGUGAUAAAGCUAACAGGCCCUUCGGACUUACCUACAGACUUGAAGACCUUUUGAGGGAUUAAUCAAGAACUUUACAUUUUCUGCGCACUUUGAGUCAACACACGAAGCAGUAAAGAUGUUCUGGCCAACAGUCGACGAGAGCGUGAACGUAAACAGCGGCGCCAAAACGCACAACAUAUUCCAAGCGUCAAUGUUUGGAAUGAAACCAGUCCUCCCCGACCUAUCAGUCCUUGCCGAUGAUGCUCAAAAGAUUAAACUGGUCAGCGCUGUAGCAGAGGUCACAUCACACUUAGCCCAUCAAGCUUUCAAGAUGGCUGCAAAUCUGAACCUAUCAGGAGCUGUCUUACAAAAGCUUGGGUCCCAACCAAUGGCAGCAGAGGUUGCUUUAUGGAAGCAUCAUGGCAGUGUUGGAUAAGACUUACCUCUUUGUUACGAGAUUACAACGAUAUUCUUCAAUAUCUCUAUUGAAAACUGAAGACUGUGUUCAUCCUAAUAUACAUGCAGAAGUCAGUGUAAUCAGUGACGACCAAGAUGGACAGGGACUGACCGCUGUCCUAAAUCAUGUACUUCGUAAAGUCAUCUAUUUAUUCCGACUGGGAGGUGACCGACGUCCGUGUUGAUAGCAGUGAUCCACGGGGACUGUUCCCACCGCAAUAGGGAACUGUUCAUGUUCGUUUCACAUUUGUCACUGUUUGUGGUGCUAUAGCUGAACUUUGAACUUCGAACUUUGAAUUUUGAAUUCACUUCAUGGCAUAAUGACCGAAAUGGCCCUUUUUCAAAUAUUUAUGUUCAAAGUAUGAUUAGAAGAAUAUGGUUACUUAUUAAGCUGCAAAUUUUAAACUGUUGUCCAAAUAGUGUUGUCAGUUUCAGCAAAGUUUCUGUGAUAUUUGAUAUGUUUUAGUUGUGCAUGUCGUGUAUUUUAUGUCGUAUGGGUAAACGAGGUAUCUCUGUGUGGACAGUAAGCCGCUUCAAGGCUGAAACUGAAAAUGAGUCUCUUAUAUAAUUAUUAUUUCUCUAAAGAAUAAUUACCGUAAUAUUCAUUCUAAAUAGAAUGUACUCUUCAGUAACUGACGCUCGUUUUAUUCAAACCUCGUUCACCCAUACGCUUACAGUUAGGAACGGUUAUCGCAAGGAUUCUAUACACUUCCUUGUCCGAAGACUCACUGCCCCGGACAGAUGGAAAUCUGAUAGUCCGGAUAAACAAUGUUCGUCUGUAACUGUUUGACAUUGACCAGUUCGCAAUGAACUGUUCACUUAAAAGGGCAAGUACAUGGAUCAAAACGUUUGUUUGGUUUAGAAACUUUUGGACACAUUGUCAAGACAAGGAUAUUACGUAAAAUGUAAAUUUCUUCUGACUGAUGGUGUUAAUUUCAUGAAAUCCACAGAUCUGAUAUUUACAUGUUUUUCGUCUCAUUGAACAAAUCUUUGAUGUCUUGUCAAAGUUGUCUGUCAUAAUAGCCACACGUCUCCCGUACAUAUUAUUUAAGAAGGCAUUGUUCAUUUCAUUGGGUGUUUCGUCCGAUCAUUGGAAACGUUAUUUAUGUAUAUACAAUAGCAUCCUCAUGUACGUCACUCUAGAACGGUCAUUUUAUUUGUAGAACAUGUUUUCAAUAAACACAUAAAUGAUA